AUUGAACGCUGGCGGCAGGCCUAACACAUGCAAGUCGAGCGAGCGGCGGACGGGUGAGUAAUGUCUGGGAAACUUCCUGAUGGAGGGGGAUAACUACUGGAAAAGGUAGCUAAUACCGCAUACCAUCAGAUGUGCCCCGAUGGGAUUAGCUAGUAGGUGAGGUAACGGCUCACCGAGGCGACGAUCCCUAGCUGGCCUGAGCGUCUGACCAGCCACACUGGAACUGAGACACGGUCCAGACUCCUACGGGAGGCAGCAGUGGGGAAUAUUGCGCAAUGGGCGCAAGCCUGAUGCAGCCAUGCCGCGUGUGUGAAGAAGGCCUUCGGGUUGUAAAGCACUUUCAGUGGGGAGGCGUUACCCGCAUAGGAAGCACCGGCUAACUCCGUGCCAGCAGCCGCGGUAAUUC
rnacentral:rRNA from 1 species